rnacentral:rRNA from 1 species
AGAGUUUGAUCCUGGCUCAGGAUGAACGCUAGCGACAGGCCUAACACAUGCAAGUCGAGGGGUAACAUGAGUGCUUGCACUUGAUGACGACCGGCGCACGGGUGCGUAACGCGUAUGCAACUUACCUUGUACUGGGGAAUAGCCCGUGGAAACGCGGAUUAAUGUCCCAUAACACUACAAUUUCGCAUGGAAAAGUGGUUAAAGUUCCGACGGUACAAGAUGGGCAUGCGUGACAUUAGCUAGUUGGUGAGGUAAGGGCUCACCAAGGCGACGAUGUCUAGGGGUUCUGAGAGGAAGGUCCCCCACACUGGUACUGAGACACGGACCAGACUCCUACGGGAGGCAGCAGUGAGGAAUAUUGGUCAAUGGGCGCAAGCCUGAACCAGCCAUGUCGCGUGCAGGAAGACUGCCCUACGGGUUGUAAACUGCUUUUGUAUGGGAAGAAACGUUGGUACGUGUACCAAUUUGCCGGUACCAUACGAAUAAGGAUCGGCUAACUCCGUGCCAGCAGCCGCGGUAAUACGGAGGAUCCAAGCGUUAUCCGGAUUUAUUGGGUUUAAAGGGUGCGUAGGCGGUAGAAUAAGUCAGUGGUGAAAUCCUGCAGCUUAACUGUAGAACUGCCAUUGAUACUGUUUUACUUGAGUGUAAUUGAGGUAGGCGGAAUGUGUUGUGUAGCGGUGAAAUGCAUAGAUAUAACACAGAACACCGAUUGCGAAGGCAGCUUACUAAGUUAUAACUGACGCUGAUGCACGAAAGCGUGGGUAGCGAACAGGAUUAGAUACCCUGGUAGUCCACGCCGUAAACGAUGAUUACUCGCUGUAGGCAAUACACCGUCUGUGGCUGAGCGAAAGCAUUAAGUAAUCCACCUGGGGAGUACGUUGGCAGCAAUGAAACUCAAAGGAAUUGACGGGGGCCCGCACAAGCGGAGGAACAUGUGGUUUAAUUCGAUGAUAGGCGAGGAACCUUACCUGGACUUAAAUGUAGAUUGACGUAUCCAGAGAUGGAUAUUUCUUCGGACAAUUUACAAGGUGCUGCAUGGUUGUCGUCAGCUCGUGCCGUGAGGUGUCGGGUUAAGUCCCAUAACGAGCGCAACCCCUGUUGUUAGUUACCAGCACAUCAUGGUGGGGACUCUAACAAGACUGCCGGUGUAAACCGCGAGGAAGGUGGGGAUGACGUCAAAUCAGCACGGCCCUUACGUCCAGGGCUACACACGUGUUACAAUGGCCGGUACAGAGGGCAGCUACUUGGUGACAAGAUGCGAAUCUCAAAAACCGGUCUCAGUUCGGAUCGAAGUCUGCAACCCGACUUCGUGAAGCUGGAUUCGCUAGUAAUCGCAUAUCAGCCAUGAUGCGGUGAAUACGUUCCCGGGCCUUGUACACACCGCCCGUCAAACCAUGGAAG